rnacentral:rRNA from 1 species
UACGUAGGGGGCAAGCGUUGUUCGGAAUUACUGGGCGUAAAGGGCGCGUAGGCGGCAUGGCAAGUCGGGAGUGAAAGCCCGGGGCUCAACCCCGGAACGGCUUUCGAAACUGCCAAGCUAGAGUACGGAAGGGGCAACUGGAAUUCCCAGUGUAGCGGUGAAAUGCGUAGAUAUUGGGAAGAACACCGGAGGCGAAGGCGGGUUGCUGGGCCGAUACUGACACUGAGGCGCGAAAGCCAGGGGAGCAAACGGG